CCUAUUCAGAGAGGCUUGCAGGUGUGGCUGCUCUGUCACACGUGUAUUAGGGGGUGACAGAGAGGAGAGAGGCUAGGUCUACCCUCAAUAGCCUCAUCUACGAACAUCCGAAUGACCGGCAGCUUAAAAUU